UACAGAGGUCUCAAGCGUUGUUCGGAUUCAUUGGGCGUAAAGGGUGCGUAGGCGGCGCGGUAAGUCGGGUGUGAAAUCUUGGAGCUUAACUCCGAAACUGCAUUCGAUACUGCCGUGCUUGAGGACUGGAGAGGAGACUGGAAUUUACGGUGUAGCGGUGAAAUGCGUAGAUAUCGUAAGGAAGACCAGUGGCGAAGGCGGGUCUCUGGACAGUUCCUGACGUGAGAGCGAAGACGUGGGGAGCAAACAGG
rnacentral:rRNA from 1 species